CCUUUCAAAUUAUUUCCAUGGAACACAAAAUAUCCCAAGCCAGAUAAUGACUGCUGUGACAAGCCAUCAGAGUUUCCCAGAGAUGAUCAAAGAGAUUCCUCCGGGACAUGUAAAAGAUUUCGUGCUGCGGCUUUGUGGGCAAACACACAGGACCAACAGGAUGCAUCGCAAAGAUGAGUUUUUUGCAGUUGGUGCAUUAAAGAAAGGCACUCC